CCUGCUCCUGGAGGCAGGACAGGUGUGGCUGCUGUGUUACAUGUGUGCCAGGAGCGGCAGAGAGGAGAAAAGCCAUGUCUAUGCUCGGUGUUCUGACCCGUGGACAUCUGAAUGGUUAGUAGCCUAAAGUU
ensembl:snoRNA